rnacentral:rRNA from 1 species
UGGGGAAUAUUGGACAAUGGGCGAAAGCCUGAUCCAGCCAUGCCGCGUGGGUGAAGAAGGCCUUAGGGUUGUAAACCCCUUUCAGCGGGGAAGCGGUACCCGCAGAAGAAGUCCCGGCUAACUCCGUGCCAGCAGCCGCGGUAAUACGGAGGGGACUAGCGUUGUUCGGAAUUACUGGGCGUAAAGCGCACGUAGGCGGAUUUGUAAGUCAGGGGUGAAAUCCCGGGGCUCAACCUCGGAACUGCCUUUGAUACUGCAAAUCUCGAGUCCGGAAGAGGUGAGUGGAAUUCCUAGUGUAGAGGUGAAAUUCGUAGAUAUUAGGAAGAACACCAGUGGCGAAGGCGGCUCACUGGUCCGGUACUGACGCUGAGGUGCGAAAGCGUGGGGAGCAAACAGGAUUAGAUACCCUUGUAGU